UAUUAGCUUUUACACGCAAAAAAAAUAUAUUGUAAUGGUACAGUUUAGAUGAAAUAUUGUAAAUGUACUAUUAUUGUAUUAUUACUCGUAUUAUUGUAUAAUAUGCGGCAACGUCGUGUGGGACUUUUACAUUCGCAUUAUGUGGUGGCGGCGCUGGAAAAAUGUUGUCAUACCUAACAAAGUGAUAAGAAGAUAAAAUAGUUGGUUGGUUAUGAUAUCUAUGUAUUAAAUAAAAAUGAACACUUUUGUUUUUCGUUCUCUCUCUAAAAUAAAAAACUAACAAGUAACAAUACGAUUUUUUAUGAUGAAUUAAAAUGGAAAUAUCAACAAACUAUGUUUGAGAGAACAACGAAUAAAUACACACGAAUAUCAACUAUAUUUGAACUCCUACAUCAAUGAAAACUGAAUCACCAGUACAACUGAAAUUAAGAAUGUUAUACUCACGGCGAAGAAGCUUAAUAAUGGUCGGCUUACUAUUGAUCCAUAAACAUUUCAGUGUAGCUGUAAAAUAAUAUGAUUAAUUAGUAAAUAUCAUCAUAAUGAUUAAUUUUCUUUUAUUAGUUUUGUCGAACGAAAAGAAAUUUUAAUGUACUAAUCUGUUAUUUUAGGUCAUAUAACAAUAUAAUAGCUAAUUAUGUAAAGUUACUUACCUGAUGAACGAACGGAAUGAAUUAUUUUCAUCAUAUUUUCAGUAAAUCAGAAUGAAACACUAGCACAAUAUUUCGUAAAAGAAAAUAUUUUUACUAUAAUUCUCUUAUAAAUAUAUUUUCUGCGUUGAGAGUAUUAUUUAAACAGAAUGUCACUUUAAUGAUUAAUCUCUUACAAAUCAACUGUAAUUUCUAGUUGGAGUAUCCAUUAACGACGGUCGAAUUACAUUUUUUUUGAACCAAACAAUAUUUUAAUUAAUAUAAAUUUAAAUUGUGAUAUAUUUUUAUAUAUUUUCUUUUUUAGUUAUUCGUCCAAGUUACGCGAAGGUAAAACCUAAUACGGUAAACGUUUCAAUAGAAUCGUUGUGAACCAAACAUUUUUCUGGAGGGUGUUUCCGUCUAAUAAAUAAAGUUCAAAGAAUGUUUCAGUGUGAUAUUUUGAAACUUAUUAAAAUAUGGUUAAUGCAGUUUUUUUAACUAGUCCCUCACUCAUAAAAUUGUGGCAAUACCAUAUACAUAUAUACGUAUCAUAUUUCGACUUCAUUAAUUCACAUGUUAAUGAAUUUUUAUAUUUUCUAAUAGUUAUAAAUGCGUUACAGCUUUUAUGGAUUAUUUAAAACUUCAAAUGUUUUAAAUGCUCAUUUUAAUCUACUUAUGGUACUAAAAACACAGGUUUUUGUAAAAAUGAAAUAAAAUUUUAUAAUUGUAAUCUCAUAUAUGCUUAAAAUAAUAUGGUCUACUUCUACCUCUUCUUCCUUCAACAUUCAUUUCUAUAACUGUUCUUACAGCUUCUGAUUCUUCUCUCCUCAUAACAUGACCAAACCAUCUAAGUAUUUAUGUAGUAUAUAUCUUAGUAAUAUAUUUUCUCUCAUCUUAUCCACGAUUGAUGCUACACCCAUUCUCCUUCUUAUAUGUUCGUUCCUUAUCCCAUCUUUUCUAGUCACUCCACUCAUCUCUGCUACACUCGUUAUAUGCUCUACUUUAUUGUCGUCCGUGCCAACACUCUGAACCAUACAUCCAUAUCUGGUCUUACUACAGUCUUAUAGAACUUACCUUUCAACCUCAUUAGAAUUCUUUUAUUGCAUGAUGCACCAGACGCUUCUAUCCUUAUUAAACCAUCCGCACUGUAGAGUGUAAAACACUUCCUGUGUCUUGCAUCCUCGUCAAUACUACCGUCUUUUUGAACAACUGAUCCUAAAUACUUAAGGGGCACACCUAGUGUGAAAUUUUCAAAAAAUCGAUUUUUUUUUCCCCCAUAUUUUGAUAGGUUAUACCUUUAAAAAUAACAUACUAAAAUUUUAAAUCGAUAUCUUAAAUAGUUUUUGAGUUACAGCCAUUUAAAAGAGUAGCCGCUCGGCAGUUAGAUAGUUGCAUUGGCUACGGGAUAUACCUGAAGUAAGUUUAAGCACGAUUACCUCCCACUGGAUCCAGAAGUUGAAAAAGGUCUAAAGCCUAUUUAUGAAGAUUUAUCUCGGCAUGAAUUGCUUGAUAGAUGCAAAGCACCUUCAUAAUGGAUUGAAAACUAUUGAAUUAGCAAAUUUUUUUGCAACUUCAAUAUUCAAUGACGGUUACUCCUCAAUUUUAAAGAUAUUUAAUGCAAUGGGAGUAAAAGUUGGACCUGCAGCAAGAGAUUAUACGGCUCUUAAGAACGAGACGAGACUACGAAUCGCUGAUCAUCGCCAACGGGCUUGUUCAAAAGAGGGUCGAUCAUCUCGAAGAAGAGCUUCUUCAGCUCAACAAGCACUUUUUGAGGAAGAGGAAGGUGAAUUAUAUGGGCCUGGAAUAGCAGAUUAGCUGUUUUAUCAACGGAGAAGGCUGCAAUCACUCUAGCAGUGGAGGACCUUUUUUUUUUGGCGCCGCCGGAGAUCGCGUGUCAUUUCAAAAAUAUUUAAUAUUUUAUUUCAAAAAUUUUACCGUGUAUUCUCAAAACAUGUAUAAAUAUACCCUCAAAAUUUUAAAUAGA